GACGAACGCUGGCGGCGUGCCUAAUACAUGCAAGUAGAACGCUGAAGGAGGAGCUUGCUCUUCUGGAUGAGUUGCGAACGGGUGAGUAACGCGUAGGUAACCUGCCUGGUAGCGGGGGAUAACUAUUGGAAACGAUAGCUAAUACCGCAUAACAGUAGAUGUUGCAUGACAUUUACUUAAAAGGUGCAAUUGCAUCACUACCAGAUGGACCUGCGUUGUAUUAGCUAGUUGGUGGGGUAACGGCUCACCAAGGCGACGAUACAUAGCCGACCUGAGAGGGUGAUCGGCCACACUGGGACGGAGACACGGCCCAGACUCCUACGGGAGGCAGCAGUAGGGAAUCUUCGGCAAUGGACGGAAGUCUGACCGAGCAACGCCGCGUGAGUGAAGAAGGUUUUCGGAUCGUAAAGCUCUGUUGUAAGAGAAGAACGAGUGUGAGAGUGGAAAGUUCACACUGUGACGGUAUCUUACCAGAAAGGGACGGCUAACUACGUG
rnacentral:rRNA from 1 species